CUACGGGCGGCACCAGUGAGGAAUAUUGCACAAUGGGGGGAACCCUGAUGCAGCAACGCCGCGUGGAGGAUGACGCAUUUCGGUGUGUAAACUCCUUUUAUAUGUCAAGAAAAUGACGGUAGCAUAUGAAUAAGCACCGGCUAACUCCGUGCCAGCAGCCGCGGUAAUACGGAGGGUGCAAGCGUUACUCGGAGUCACUGGGCGUAAAGGACGCGUAGGCGGGUUGGAAAGUCAGGUGUGAAAUCCUACAGCUUAACUGUAGAACUGCACUUGAAACUUCUAAUCUAGAGUAUGGGAGGGGAAGAUGGAAUUAGUGGUGUAGGGGUAAAAUCCGUAGAUAUCACUAGGAAUACCUAAAGCGAAGGCGAUCUCCUGGAACAUUACUGACGCUAAGGCGUGAAAGCGUGGGGAGCAAACAGGAUUAGAUACCCUAGUAGUC
rnacentral:rRNA from 1 species